rnacentral:rRNA from 1 species
UAGGGAAUAUUGCAAAAUGGGCGAAAGCCCGAUGCAGCAACGCCGCGUGGGCGACGAAGGCCUUCGGGUCGUAAAGCCCUUUUGAGGGGAUGAGGAAGGACAGUACCCUCAGAAUAAGCCUCGGCUAACUACGUGCCAGCAGCCGCGGUAAAACGUAGGAGGCGAGCGUUAUCCGGAUUUACUGGGCGUAAAGCGCGUGCAGGCGGAUUGGAGAGUUGGAUGUGAAAGCUCCCGGCUUAACUGGGAGAGGUCGUUCAAUACUUCCAGUCUUGAGUGCAGUAGAGGGAAGUGGAAUUCCGGGUGUAGUGGUGAAAUGCGUAGAUAUCCGGAGGAACACCAGUGGCGAAAGCGGCUUCCUGGACUGUAACUGACGCUCAGACGCGAAAGCUAGGGUAGCAAACG